UAUGGUGUGGUUCAGUGGUAGAGUGUCUGCCAGGAAUGCACAAGGACCCAGGUUCAAGUCCUGGCACCACAA
rfam:Ictidomys tridecemlineatus contig001854, whole genome shotgun sequence.